UGUCGGUCCCCUCGCAAUUGGAUAUUUGUGAACCCCGUCAGGCCCGGAAGGGAGCAGCGGCAGCGGAUAUUUGGUGUGCCGGGGCGUGGCUGGCAGGA
rnacentral:SRP_RNA from 1 species